rnacentral:lncRNA from 1 species
GGGAUUUUGAGAAAGAAGGAGCUGUGGUGAUUCCGUCCCUGAGGAUUUGACCUUACUCCCUCUGUUACUAUUUUUUUAUUGUUUAGGGAUAAGAUAUAUUUGUUGCUCUCAAUGACACACCAAAUAUCACUAUCAAACUCCAUGGUGAGCAUGCCACUUCGAACAUUGAUUUUUUAACGAGUAAUAUUAAGAAACGGUCUCUUGAGU